UACGUAGGGUGCGAGCGUUGUCCGGAAUUAUUGGGCGUAAAGGGCUCGUAGGCGGUUUGUCGCGUCGGGAGUGAAAACCUUGGGCUUAACUCAGGGCUUGCUUUCGAUACGGGCAGACUAGAGGUAUGCAGGGGGAGAACGGAAUUCCUGGGUGUAGCGGUGAAAUGCGCAGAUAUCAGGAGGAACACCGGUGGCGAAGGCGGUCUCUGGGCAUGAUCUGACGCUGAGGAGCGAAAGUGUGGGGAGGCGAACAGG
rnacentral:rRNA from 1 species